rnacentral:rRNA from 1 species
AACGAACGCUGGCGGCAUGCCUAACACAUGCAAGUCGAACGAGACCUUCGGGUCUAGUGGCGCACGGGUGCGUAACGCGUGGGAAUCUGCCCUUGGGUUCGGAAUAACAGUUGGAAACGACUGCUAAUACCGGAUGAUGACGUAAGUCCAAAGAUUUAUCGCCCAAGGAUGAGCCCGCGUAGGAUUAGCUAGUUGGUGAGGUAAAGGCUCACCAAGGCGACGAUCCUUAGCUGGUCUGAGAGGAUGAUCAGCCACACUGGGACUGAGACACGGCCCAGACUCCUACGGGAGGCAGCAGUGGGGAAUAUUGGACAGUGGGCGAAAGCCUGAUCCAGCAAUGCCGCGUGAGUGAUGAAGGCCUUAGGGUUGUAAAGCUCUUUUACCCGGGAUGAUAAUGACAGUACCGGGAGAAUAAGCUCCGGCUAACUCCGUG